ACGCUCGACACCUACGGAGGCAGCAGUGGGGAAUAUUGCACAAUGGGGGAAACCCUGAUGCAGCGACGCCGCGUGAGCGAAGAAGUAUUUCGGUAUGUAAAGCUCUAUCAGCAGGGAANAAACUGACGGUACCUGACUAAGAAGCACCGGCUAAAUACGUGCCAGCACGCCGACGGUAAUCUGGAGGCGGGCUGGCAAGGC
rnacentral:rRNA from 1 species